rnacentral:rRNA from 1 species
GACGAACGCUGGCGGCGUGCUUAACACAUGCAAGUCGAACGGAAAGACCCUGCUUUUGUGGGGUGCUCGAGUGGCGAACGGGUGAAUAACACGUGAGUAACCUGCCCUUGACUUUGGGAUAACUUCAGGAAACUGGGGCUAAUACCGGAUAGGAGCUCCUGCUGCAUGGUGGGGGUUGGAAAGUUUCGGCGGUUGGGGAUGGACUCGCGGCUUAUCAGCUUGUUGGUGGGGUAGUGGCUUACCAAGGCUUUGACGGGUAGCCGGCCUGAGAGGGUGACCGGCCACAUUGGGACUGAGAUACGGCCCAGACUCCUACGGGAGGCAGCAGUGGGGAAUAUUGCACAAUGGGCGGAAGCCUGAUGCAGCAACGCCGCGUGCGGGAUGACGGCCUUCGGGUUGUAAACCGCUUUCGCCUGUGACGAAGCGUGAGUGACGGUAAUGGGUAAAGAAGCACCGGCUAACUACGUG